rnacentral:lncRNA from 1 species
GCAUGGGGUGGUGGGUGCAGGGCAGAUGCAGGCCCGGCCGCCCCAGCCUUGUCCCCCUACUGUCUCUGUAGUGGGUCACACUGUGGGUCACCCUCCUCCAAGGGCCCCACGUCUCGGGCAGACAGAGCAGGGGGUGAGGGGCCCCGGGGGCCGAGCCAGCUCUGACCUCCUCUGAGCACCUGCCUGCAGCCAGCCCCUCUGCCUGCCAACCACCGGCCCUCAGCAGUCCCUAUAUCCUCAAAUCCGCCCCAUCCCCCACUUGGCUAUACUGGAAGUGGGCACGCUUCUGUUACCCAAAUCCCAUCCUUCCAGCCUGAUAGGAAGGAACGCCCUGGCAGUGCUGUCUGGUCCUAGCCACAGUGACCCAGAGGCCAGGUGUCGGGGGCUGGGGCCGGUGAGGGCUCUGAGGGGCCGCCCAGUGCUCAGGAGCCAGGGCUCUGCUGCUACUGGGGCCUGAGUGGGGCUGCAGCCCCAGCCUUGGCACCUGGAACAAGGGACAGCCACACAUGUGCCUGUCUGAGUCUGGGGCAGGGCUUAUGCAGGCCGGGCCCGGCCCUUGGCGGGUGUUCAGGGCCUGAUACUACCACCCUUAGGAGUGGGGCAGGCACCGGGCAGGUUUGUGAGAACUGCACCCACAUUUCCGCCACAGCUGGAAGAGGACGUGCCAACCGGAGUCCCACCAGGGGCGGGGGUAGGGGCAGAUGGAGCCCUGGACACUGCGGAGGCUGAGCCUCAGUAUUCCCCAUGCCCCAGAGCUGUGCUGUCCCCCAGGCUGGGAGCUGGGGCAGAAGUCAACUCCAGCCUACAUGGGCCCAGCAGCUACCUCCAGAUGCCCCAAAACAGGUGCAAAGGGAUACCCAGCUGCUCAUGAAAAUGAAUCCCAGAUGGAGACAAAGAGCCCUGCCUGGCCCUGGCCUGGCGUGGCCGGAUGUCCCUUUCCACCUUCCUGCUCACAGAGGAGGCUGGGCUUCUGAGGCCUGAGGGGCCAGGCAGGAAGCCAUGGGCCACAAGGCACCCCUGGGCCCCCGCUCCCCGACUUCCUGCAUGGUAGAAGGCCCGUCCCGGGGCCAACUGCCUCUGCCACCACUGCCUGGAUGAGUGAGGGCAGGAGGUGGAAGGGUGAGGUGGGGCCCUGACCCUCGGGAAGAGGGGUCCUGGACUCAGUUUCCCUCCCUGUCCUGAGGCUGCUGCCUUCUAGCCAGAUCCUGGUUUCCAGGGGCCCUGUCCUGCCCAGCAGUUCCCACAGUGCUGGCUGGUUCUCAAAGGGAGACCCCAGGAGACCCCCCCCCAGGAGACACCUGGGCAGGGCAGGGGCAGCUCUGGGGGGGGGCAGCCAUAUGGUGACCCCUCCACUGCCCACAGCCACACAGCCCCUCCCCGUAACCUUCUCUGCAUUUGCUAAUGUUUUGUGACAUGAAGCCCUGAGAUUAAUUUUUUGCCUGUCUUAAUUGAAGGAACCAUUUAGUGCCGAUUUAACUAUUAUUACCAAAUCAUCAGGAUUGAUGCAGUGCGCACACGCACGCGCCAAUCGUGUUUGGAGGAGCUCGGAGGAUUUAUGCAAAUGGGCCUGCCGGGAGAGGCAAUUUGUAGCCGAGAAGGACAAUUAUACCAGGCCCGGGAGUGCGCCAACGACUGCGCCGGGCGGGUAAUGGAUAAUAACAUCGCGCCGGCAGCCGUGAGCAGCUCCACAGCGUGACCAACGACUUUAUACAGUGCAGAUAAAGAGGCCUGCACGCAACACCGCCUCACACUCCAGGGGGGCCGGGCGGGGACGAUGCCACAGCCAGGUGUGCAGAGCCGGCGUGGCUGGGCCUGGGGGCCGUGACUUCCAGAGGGGGACCCGGGCCAGGGUGGUGCUGGGAGCUGCCAGAAGGGCAAAGCCUGUCUGGAGCAGGGCUCUGUCUGCUGGUCACUCUCGAUGGUCUAGGAAGGGCAGGGCCAGGCCUUCAGAGUAGGUGUGAAGGGGCACCAGCAGCCUGGAAGCCUCAGGGGAGCCUGGACCCUGCUCCCCAGCCUCGAGGGCCCAGGGCCGGCCACACGCGCCCUGCCAUGCCAGUGCCCAGG